GACGAACGCUGGCGGCGUGCUUAACACAUGCAAGUCGAACGAAGUGGCGAACGGGUGAGUAACGCGUAAUCAACCUGCCCUUCAGAGGGGGACAACAGUUGGAAACGAAUGCUAAUACCGCAUACUGAGGAGGGGAUUGCGUCUGAUUAGCUAGUUGGAGGGGUAACGGCCCACCCAGGCGAUGAUCAGUAGGCGGUCUGAGAGGGUGGACGGGCACAUUGGGACUGGGGAACGGCCCAGACUGCUACGGGAGGCAGCAAUGGGGAAUCUUCCGCAAUGGACGAAUGUCUGACGGAGCAACGCCGCGUGAGUGAUGACGGGCUUCGGGUUGUAAAGCUCUGUUAAGCGGGACGCGGUACCGGAAUAGAAAGCCACGGCUAACUACGUGCCAGCCGCCGCGGUAAUAC
rnacentral:rRNA from 1 species